AGAGUGUUAUGAUGUUGGAGGCGACUCCGAGUCUAGCUCGCGCCGUGUCCGCUGGUUUCCAGCGGAC
rfam:Enterococcus sp. 9E7_DIV0242 scaffold00004, whole genome shotgun sequence.